AACUGAAAAUGAAAGCAUCAUUAGUCAAAAUUUGAGUUUUGCAAAAAAAAAUCAUAUGAUGUUGACAAAAUGAAAGGCUUUUUUUAUUGUUUUGACACCAUUUUUGAGGCUAAAUACUGCUUGAUUUAUAUUUUUGAAUCUGAAUAAGUCCCACUCUAUUAGUUUUGCUUUCACAUACUACUGCAUUAUCCUUAGCCUCUAAUUCUUCAUAUGAUGUUGAUUUUGCUUAAUGUAUUCCCCUUAUAGUCCAGUUACAGUCCAUAUACACUGUAGUUACAGUUGUAACUUUUAUUAUUUCUCACUGUAACUGAAUGCAGGUAGUUAGAUUAUUUUUAUUUAUCAUGCUUCACCUCUAAUUUUUAAUGUAUAUAAAUUUGUGCUAGAUGAAAAUUUCUACAAAUAUCAUAUAUGGUGCCAAUGACAGAUGAAAUUUUCAACAAAGAUCAGAUAUGGUGCAUAAUAAUAGGUAAGCAUGUUUUUUCUAACCUUCAACUGUAUUGUUUCUUCUUAAUUCUUCAGAGUCAAUUCUGUCACUUCCACAUCUCUCUGAUUGUGAAUUCCUUGUUACUUCAGCCUUUGUUCUAUCAGCCCCUGCAUGUGUUAGGUUAUAUUAAUAUUUUUAGAACAUGUUACAAUACGAAGUAAUGCUGAUAUUAUUGCAUGAGUACUGAAUUUCUGAUAGAAGCUACAAUAGGAACUAAUACUGAUGUUCUUGCAUUAGUACUGAAAUAGAAAUUCAAUACAAGUAUGUGUUUGUGCAUGUUUUGUGUUUAUAUAAGUACUUAAUUUUGAUUUCGUUUGAAUAGGAAAAUCUGCAUAUAGUUUAGUGACAUAAUUUUGUAAUUAUGUCAUUAGAUUCUUUGCAGUUUUUAUCACUCAGAUGUAGUCAAAAUUAGGUCUGUUAUAGUUCAACUUUAGUUGUAUACAAAGUUUAGAAUGCUAGUCCACUAUAAUUACAAUGUUUCAAUAGUAUCUUGAAAGAUUUGCAUGAAUAUAGUAAUAACAAUGCCAUUCUGACCUGGAACAACUUCAGUGGUCUGACUUUUGGUUUCUUUAAUAUGUUUUGCCAUAAUAUUGCUCUUAUCUGAUUCUUGGCUUCUUCUUUUUUCAUCUUGUACUUCUUCAUGACCUGCAACUGGAGAAAAUUGAAGUUUUCAUGAGAAACUACAGUGUUAUGUUUGAUGAAAUUUUCUAUGAAGAUCAGAUAUGAUGCACAAUAAUAGAUUCUGCUUUGUUUUUGCUUAACAAGUGCUGCCCGGGACAUAACUCUUAUGUGUCUACUUAUUCCUUUCAUUAAAACAGAAAAGGAGAACUAGCCAGGUAAAUUCUAUGAUCGUCAAACUUUUUCUUGCAGAAAAAUUUAUGGAUGUAUAGCUCCAUGUUUUUUUAUUGGUUGCAUUUAUGUGGAUGUCAGCUUCAAUAUAUGUUUUCUAUUAGGAAAUUACCCACAAAAAAUAUAUCUCUUGAGGCAUUUGAAUGGCUGAUCUUAAACCUUGUAUCUUUUUUGAUUUAGUUAUGGUAUUUGAUGCCCACUUCUUUCAUCUGGGGAUUUAGUUUAGUUUUCAAAUUGUAUUUUCAGUUUUGAAUCUUUGAUUUAACAGAUGAAGUCAAUAUUUUAGGUUUCAUGCAGUCCUAAAACACACUUACAGUGCAACUCACACCACUUACAGUGGAAAUAUACCUUAGUUACAGUUGUAAUUUUUAUUAUUUCGCACUGUAACUGACUAUUGGUAGUUAGAUUGUUAAUUAUUGAUAUUGGUUUUAUCAGAGACUUGUAGUUUGGGGAACCCUAGGCAUCUUUAUUUUCUUAGAUAUGUGCCUGAUAUAUUUUUUUUUUGCUAGUUAGUAAUGUAGGCCUAGUUUUGUACUGUUUUUUUUUCUGUUAUCUCUAUUUCUCUUGGUAGAAUAUAGAUUGACCUGAGGCUUCUUCCUUGAUAGAAGCUUGACAUACUGUCUCUAGUUUACUUCCAUUGCUUAGCAUGGAAUUUUUAGGUUUAGUGUGGUGCCCGUUAUCUCACAAGUUAUCUGAGAUAGCAACUGUUGAGGAAUUUUUGUCUCUAAUUUCAGAUGUGCAAGAUAUUCUUAUCUAUAAUUUUUAGAUGUGUCCACAUGACAUUUUCAUUUUUUUGGUCUAUUGUUCUCUGUGUGAUAUUGACUGGGUUAUAUGUGUACUUUUUAGCAACUUUGUUUUGGCUUUUGUUGCUCUUGCAUGUGUUGAUUCUGGGAGCAAGGGCCUUGGAGCUGCUUGGAUUGUGGGAUGACAGCAAUGGAAAUUGAUGUCAACGUGGGUGAAGGGAUCAUGUUCAUUGAAGGACAUACUAGUUGUGAUCAACAGAAUAUGUUUUGGGAUGCAAAAGUUAGAGAUAUGUGCACUGUAUGAUGUAUGUUCUUCUGGUGCCCUAUGUUUCCCCUUAUUUCAAUAUGAAACUUAUAGCUUAUUAGAAGGAUCUUUUUGAAUCAAAAGUCAUGUUUCCCUACUCAGUACUGCUUGAUGUAAAGGAAUCCAAAAUUUCAUGCAAUUUCCCUAAGAGUUUUCAAA